rnacentral:rRNA from 1 species
CUUGGUCAUUUAGAGGAAGUAAAAGUCGUAACAAGGUUUCCGUAGGUGAACCUGCGGAAGGAUCAUUAACGUAUCUCCGAGUCCGGCGGUCGGCGUCGCCCGCUCCGGCCCACGGCCGUUGCAGCGGGCAGCUGUGCCCCGGCUCGAAACCACAAACCCCACGUGCUCCUUUGCGGCCCACGGGCGUCGUCGGCGAGAGCCGCGUGCCCGAAAGCCACAUUCAAAUAGACCCCAGUUUAAAAGAAUGCAAAGCGGACUCUGAUCCGCCCACAAACUUGAACAACUUUCAACAACGGAUCUCUUGGCUCUCGCAUCGAUGAAGAACGCAGCGAAAUGCGAUACGUAAUGUGAAUUGCAGAAUUCAGUGAAUCAUCGAAUCUUUGAACGCACCUUGCGCCCCUUGGAAUUCCGAGGGGCACACCCGUUUGAGUGUCGUGAACAUCCUUCAACCUUUCUUGGUUUCUCGAUCAAGGAAGGCUUGGACUUUGGGGGUUUUUCAUUGCUGGCCUCCCUUGAAGCCAGCUCCUCCUAAAUGUAUUAGUGGGGUCUGCUUUGCCGAUCCUUGACGUGAUAAGAUGCUUCUACGUCUUGGGUUUCGCACUGUCGCUUUGGACCCUGCUUCUAACCGUCUUGCAUUCAGGACAGAGUCAUGAACCUUGACCUCAAAUCGGGUGAGACUACCCGCUGAACUUAAGCAUAUCAAUAAGCGGAGGA